AUGGUUAUUUUCGGAAGGUAAGAAAAAAAAUAAUAAGAAGAAUUAAAAAAAAAAAUCUAUUAUUAUUUUUAAUUUAAAAGAAAAAUAAAAAGCGGGGAGAGGGCCGGGCGGCGCCUAUGGAAAAGCAGCGCUGGCAUCCCCCCCGCCCCCCCCCAGUGAAGCCCCACUCCGGCCGGGCACGGCUCCUCCUGGCAGCCCGCAGCGCCCCGGCCCCAUCGCCGCCUCCUCCGCUGCCUCCUCCCCUCGCCCGGGGCACCGGCGGCUGCGGCGGGGACGCUCCGGUGCGGGGGCGGGGAGCGGCAGCGCAGGAGGAGGAGGAGGAGGAGGAGGAAGGCUUCGACCCCGCUCCCCCGGCAGCGCGGCGGCCCCCGGAUGGUGCUGUUUGUGAAGGGACGAAGCUUGUGCUUAAUGCCUGAAUUUUCAGGCACGUUCUGUAGUCUUGAACAAACAGGAACAUAAUCUCCGUCUGUCUUGUGCUCAAAUUAUUUCAGUGUGAUAAAUAAUACGCUAAAUAAUUUAUUAUCUAUUUUAAAAAUAAAAUUAAAGCAAGAUACACUGAUACUCCCCUAGUUUUUAUUUCAACAUUUGCUCCCUCUUUUCUAUUUUUUUUUUUUUUUAGAGGGAACUCUGCAAGCCCUGAUCAUUUUUACAAGGGAUCAGCUCGAUUUUAACAGGGAUUUUGUAUACACUAGAGGUUUAUUUUAUCCAUCCCCACAUCCCUUUUGCCUGCUAAACCCCCCGUGUGCAUACUGAGAUACUGGAUGUUACACGGCAUAAUUUGUGCAUUCCCAGGGUAUAUUUUACUGCUGUUCCAAGUUGUUUGUCAAACACCGAAGUAACGGCAGCGGCCUGACGGGGAUGGGAUCUGAUUUUGUUCCAGCUUUCUAUUUAAAUAAAAUAAAAUAAAAUACAAAUUAUUUAUAUUUACAAA